rnacentral:rRNA from 1 species
UACGUAGGUGGCAAGCGUUGUCCGGAUUUACUGGGCGUAAAGAGCGCGCAGGCGGUCGAUUAAGUCGAGUGUGAAAGCCCCCGGCUCAACUGGGGAGGGUCACUUGAUACUGGUCGACUCGAAGGCAGGAGAGGGAAGUGGAGUUCCCGGUGUAGUGGUGAAAUGCGUAGAUAUCGGGAGGAACACCAGUGGCGAAGGCGACUUCCUGGCCUGUUCUUGACGCUGAGGCGCGAAAGCUAGGGGAGCAAACGGG